UGACAUCAAAAUUUGCUGAUUAAGAUUUUUUAGCAUGUUGUUAUUUAUUCGUAAGAGUUUUAUAAAUUCGUAAGUAGUAAGAGUUAGUCUCUGUACCUUUUGCAUUAGGGUCUAUCAAGAAUUAAAUAUAUAUUUUAUUACCCCGAUAGUAAAAAAUUUAUUAAAUUGAGCUAAUCUAAUGUUGCAGAAUUAUAUUAAACUUUUUAAUAAUUGGCUAGAUACUAUACUGCUUUUACAGGUAUCUGGUUAGCUUAAAAAUAUAUUUAGUAUAGAUUUUUUUCUUAAAAUAUUCACAAUAUCCUGGAUAAGCAGGAUGUGGGAAUUUAUUGAACUAUUUUAACAAAUUAUAUUAGUUAGGUAGACUUGACGUUAGUAAUUGGUUAGUUUGUUAUAAAAAAUCUAAUACUGGAUUUUAAAUUAAUUUGUGGGUCAUUGAGUGAAUAGGCUUAAAUUUUAACAAUUAUAAUGAUGAUAAGAAUUAGUAGAAAAUAAAUUUAAAAUUAUUAUUUAAUUAAUAGGUUAUAAUAAUUUAAAUAUUUGUUUAUUUAAUUUUUUUGUAAUAAAUUCGGCAAAUUUACUUUCCGAAUGUUUAACAAAAACAUUUCUUUCUGAAAUUAAGAUAGGAGGUAGGCCCUGCCCAAUGCUUUAAGGAGUUAAUGGCUGCAUAAAUUUGAGUGUACUAAGGUAGCGCUAUAAUUUGCCUUUUAAAUGGGGGAUGGUAUGAAUGGGUUCACGCGAAAGUUGCUGUGUCACAAAAAUUUUUUGAAAUUAACUUUUAGGUGAAGAGGCCUGACUAAGUUUAAAGGACGACAAGACCCUAGAAGCUUUACUGAAAGUAAUAUAUAUAUAUAUAUAUACAGUAUAUCACUCCAGUUUUGUUGGGGCAACAUAGUUAGAAAGUAUAACUUGCUUAUACAAACUUACAGGUUAAAACCACUUAGGUGAAUAAGAUAAGCUACUCUAGGGAUAACAGCGUUAUUUUUUUUAAUAGUACUUAUUGUAAAAGAAGUUUGCGACCUCGAUGUUGGACUAAGGUAUCCUUAAGGAGCAGAAGUUUUAGAGGGUUGGACUGUUCGUCCAUUAAAACCUUACAUGAUCUGAGUUCAGACCGGCGUGAGCUAGGUCAGUUUCUAUCCUUACAUACAUAAAUUUGAUUAAGUUAGUACGAAAGGAAUUUUUAAUCUAAAAUUAUUUAAGACUAUUUAAUUUAAUCAACAGCUUGAAGAUUGGCCCAACCGUCAGUGGGUUUGUGUGC
rnacentral:rRNA from 1 species